CUCACGCCUGGGAUGCCACGGCGGGGACACGGGAUUGAGCGCUGCAGGAACCUCCCUCUUUCCAUCCACGCUGACGGGGAUGGAAAACUUUCCCGUCAGAGCUGUGCAGCAGGUUUGGUAUCUUGGUGUUCAGAGUGCUAUGGGGAGUAAAUCUGCUGAGUGGGAAGCAGUCCUAGCCCAAAGAUUGUGCAACCAGAAGGAGAGACUGCAAGAGGAGACUAAGAGGAGACCAAGAUGGGGAAACAAACGUGUGGAAAGGUCUGCUGACACGUGGCUUCAAAUCCUCUGGCAGAACACAGCCUUUGCCCAUCUCUGCUGCAUUCCCUGGGUCGCUCUCCUCCCCUGUUGCUCCUCCAGGUGAGGCAGGCUCCCUCCAGCCCCUCCCCACUGCAGAAGUGCCUGUCUCCAAAGCAUGCUCUAGGUCCUCCCCACCUGUUGGUGGCUGAAAUGAGGGUGAGCCCUGCAGGGUCUCACUCUGCUUUUGUCGGGCAGAGAGGCAGCACCCGCUGACCAGGCAGCCUGUGUUUGGUCUGUGCCUGCCAUGAGGAGGCCUGGUGAGCACUGGUGUCACUGGCAGACGCAGAAUAAUUGGUUGUACUGAUUAAUUCUGGGCCUAUUGGGGGUCACAUAUUAACAAUAAACUGGAAAUGCCAACUA